rnacentral:pre_miRNA from 1 species
AGCUGCAUUACAGGGCGUUCCUCCUUUGGCAGUCGUCCGCUCCAUCACCUACUCUUCUUUACUUUGUAGCGUGUCCACUGCCAAAGGAGAUAUGCCCCGCAAUUCUUCU